GACGGGCGUCUGUGUGGAGAGGGUGUCCUUGCCCCCCGCGUCUACGCGGCCAGCUCCGGAGCCUCCCGACUUGCGGGUGCCUUUUUGCACAGAAGUGUCUUUUAAUGGGCAGAGAUCCUGGACCGUUGGGGUUUGUGGUGAGGACAGACUAGAAAGAUGUGCGAGGCCGAACAGCAGGUGACCGGUAAAGGGUAGGCUGUUCGGAGCACCCCAGGUGCAGCAUCUGGUCAGCUGUUGCUGGUGCCUGGCCGCGCGGGUGCGCUGGGAGGGCACCUUAUUUCAGAAGCGCUCGGGUGUUGCAGGAACCUCCGCGGGAUUGUUUGAUGUUGGAGCGGCAUUGGAAUCCGCUGGCCUCACCCUAGAACCCUGUCGUCUUUUGCUUCGGUUGCCCUGGAAUACCUGUCUCGUGUACCGAGUGGGGAAUCGUUGCUGGAAUAAAAGCCCAGCGAGUUUAGGAUUCGCUUAAGGAUGGAAGAUGGCGGGACACACAAACUUGAAGUGCUUCGCUGUUUAAAUAAUCUUAAGUGACACUUAAACUCUGUCACUUGUUACAGAGUAUAAACACACGAAGAAUAUGGAAACAGACUGGGUUUUUUUCUUCCUCCAUUGCUACAUCCGAAGGGAGUGACAAGUGCUUUUGUAAACAUCGUCGUGGGCAGUGUUACCGUCCCGGUGAAGUCAUCAUAAUUAAAUUAGAUGAGUACUUAUUUUGAAGCGCUGCAUGAAUGUGUGGAAAGAUGAUUCCUAAGUAAAGCAUCUCCAGCGAGUCAGAA